rnacentral:tRNA from 2 species
GCGGCCAUGGCGGAAUUGGUAGACGCGCAACGUUGAGGGCGUUGUAGGAGCAAUCCUGUGGAGGUUCAAGUCCUCUUGGCCGCACCA